GAUGAACGCUGGCGACGUGCCUAAUACAUGCAAGUCGAGCGAACAGACGAGGAGCUUGCUCCUCUGACGUUAGCGGCGGACGGGUGAGUAACACGUGGAUAACCUACCUAUAAGACUGGGAUAACUUCGGGAAACCGGAGCUAAUACCGGAUAAUAUAUUGAACCGCAUGGUUCAAUAGUGAAAGACGGUUUUGCUGUCACUUAUAGAUGGAUCCGCGCCGCAUUAGCUAGUUGGUAAGGUAACGGCUUACCAAGGCGACGAUGCGUAGCCGACCUGAGAGGGUGAUCGGCCACACUGGAACUGAGACACGGUCCAGACUCCUACGGGAGGCAGCAGUAGGGAAUCUUCCGCAAUGGGCGAAAGCCUGACGGAGCAACGCCGCGUGAGUGAUGAAGGUCUUCGGAUCGUAAAACUCUGUUAUUAGGGAAGAACAAAUGUGUAAGUAACUAUGCACGUCUUGACGGUACCUAAUCAGAAAGCCACGGCUAACUACGUG
rnacentral:rRNA from 1 species